AAAACAUCUCACAAAACAAAAUGUGAAGGAAUGAAUCUUUCUGAGAAAAAAUAAUAAAUGGCCGAGCUAUGAAAAGGUAAACAUAUCCCGUCCAACCUAAUAGGGAGCUACGUUACAAAUCCUCUACUUGUGUUUCUGAUACCGAACACAAAGAGUUAUUAAAUAUGGAAGUACAUAAAAUUUAACAAAUCCUCUACUUGUGUUUCUGAUACCGAACACAAAAAGUAAAUCAGCACUAAUACAACUUUUAUAUAUAUAUAGUUAGCGACUAUGAAUUGGUUGAAUUGGAUCAGUUGCUGAUGGCCUUGGAUCACGUGGAAGGGACUGCAAAUAAAGUUCAUCAAAUUUCC
rnacentral:lncRNA from 1 species